GAGUUCAAGAGUACGUGAAACCGUUCAGGGGUAAACCUGAGAAACCCGAAAGGUCGAAAGGGGAGAUUCAGACGCGUCUCUUGGUUGUUCGCGUGCAUCGCUCUGUGUGACGGGUGGCGUUCGCGCCGCCCGCGCCGCUCGAUGCCGUCGGACUCCGAACGCGUGCACUUCUCCUCCUGUAGGACGUCGUGACCCGUUGGGCGCCGGCCCAGGGCCCGCGGUGGAGCUCGUUCGCACUUCGGUGCGUUCGAACCCGUGGUCGCCUGGCCGGUCCGACCGACGGUACAGAUAAUGGCGCGGGGCCGCGACUCGUUCGCGUCCGGCACGUCGCAAGCACGAACGGUAAACCUGACAUCCGGACCUGGUGCCGGAUCCGGGCCCGUUCGGCUGCUGGCGGCGUUGUCCUCGGACAGACCCUGUACACGCCAGUCCACGGCGCUAUAGCUUUGGGUACUUUCAGGACCCGUCUUGAAACACGGACCAAGGAGUCUAGCAUGUGCGCGAGUCAUUGGGACUAAAUUAAACCUAAAGGCGCAAUGAAAGUGAAGGUUCGCCUCGCGCGAACCGAGGGAGGAUGGGUCUGGCCACGGACAGACCCCGCACUCCCGGGGCGUCUCAUUCUCAUCGCGAGAAGAGGCGCACCCAGAGCGUACACGCUGGGACCCGAAAGAUGGUGAACUAUGCCUGGUCAGGACGAAGUCAGGGGAAACCCUGAUGGAGGUCCGUAGCGAUUCUGACGUGCAAAUCGAUCGUCGGAACUGGGUAUAGGGGCGAAAGACUAAUCGAACCAUCUAGUAGCUGGUUC
rnacentral:rRNA from 1 species